AUACUCUGGUUUCUCUUCAGAUCGUAUAAAUCUUUCGCCUUUUACUAAAGAUUUCCGUGGAGAGGAACAACCACGAGUGUCGUGGAAUUUUUUGAGGCUCCGCUUCGGCGGAGCU
rnacentral:snRNA from 7 species